AGUGAACGCUGGCGGUAGGCCUAACACAUGCAAGUCGAACGGCAGCACAGUAAGAGCUUGCUCUUACGGGUGGCGAGUGGCGGACGGGUGAGGAAUACAUCGGAAUCUACUUUUUCGUGGGGGAUAACGUAGGGAAACUUACGCUAAUACCGCAUACGACCUACGGGUGAAAGCAGGGGAUCUUCGGACCUUGCGCGAUUGAAUGAGCCGAUGUCGGAUUAGCUAGUUGGCGGGGUAAAGGCCCACCAAGGCGACGAUCCGUAGCUGGUCUGAGAGGAUGAUCAGCCACACUGGAACUGAGACACGGUCCAGACUCCUACGGGAGGCAGCAGUGGGGAAUAUUGGACAAUGGGCGCAAGCCUGAUCCAGCCAUACCGCGUGCGUGAAGAAGGCCUUCGGGUUGUAAAGCCCUUUUGUUGGGAAAGAAAAGCAGCAGGUUAAUACCCCGCUGUUCUGACGGUACCCAAAGAAUAAGCACCGGCUAACUUCGU
rnacentral:rRNA from 1 species